AAAAUUUGAUUUUAAAUUUAAUAUAGUAAUUAAUAAAUAUAAAAAUAAAUUUAUAGAAAUUAAAAAUUAUA
rnacentral:tRNA from 1 species